rnacentral:rRNA from 10 species
GUCUACGGCCAUAGCACCCUGAACGCGCCCGAUCUCGUCUGAUCUCGGAAGCUAAGCAGGGUCGGGCCUGGUUAGUUACUUGGAUGGGAGACCGCCUGGGAAUACCGGGUGCUGUAGGCC